CAGCAGCCGCGGGAAUACGUAGGUGGCAAGCGUUGUCCGGAAUUAUUGGGCGUAAAGGGCUCGCAGGCGGUUUCUUAAGCCUGAUGUGAAAGCCCCCGGCUCAACCGGGGAGGGUCAUUGGAAACUGGGAAACUUGAGUGCAGAAGAGGAGAGUGGAAUUCCACGUGUAGCGGUGAAAUGCGUAGAGAUGUGGAGGAACACCAGUGGCGAAGGCGACUCUCUGGUCUGUAACUGACGCUGAGGAGCGAAAGCGUGGGGAGCGAACAGGAUUAGAUACCCCAGUAGUCCCUGUCUCUUAUAC
rnacentral:rRNA from 1 species